rnacentral:rRNA from 1 species
AGGACGAACGCUGGCGGCGUGCCUAACACAUGCAAGUCGAGCGAGGAGAUUCCUUCGGGAUGAUCCUAGCGGCGGACGGGUGAGUAACACGUGGGCAACCUGCCUCAUAGAGAGGAAUAGCCUUCCGAAAGGGAGAUUAAUACCUCAUAACAUUGCAGUUUCGCAUGGAACAGCAAUUAAAGGAGCAAUCCGCUAUGAGAUGGGCCCGCGGCGCAUUAGCUAGUUGGUGAGGUAACGGCUCACCAAGGCGACGAUGCGUAGCCGACCUGAGAGGGUGAUCGGCCACAUUGGGACUGAGACACGGCCCAGACUCCUACGGGAGGCAGCAGUGGGGAAUAUUGCACAAUGGGGGAAACCCUGAUGCCAGCAACGCCGCGUGAGUGAUGACGGCCUUCGGGUUGUAAAGCUCUGUCUUCAGGGACGAUAAUGACGGUACCUGAGGAGGAAGCCACGGCUAACUACGUGCCAGCCGCCGC